rnacentral:rRNA from 1 species
GACGAACGCUGGCGGCGUGCCUAACACAUGCAAGUCGAACGGAAAACAUAGCAAUAUGUUUUUAGUGGCGAACGGGUGAGUAACGCGUAGACAACCAACCUUUUUGUGGGGGACAACACUUCGAAAGGAGUGCUAAUACCGCAUACGCUCCAGAUGCCGCCUGGCAUUUGGAGGAAAGGAGCUGUAAGGCUUCGCAAAAAGACGGGUCUGCGUCUGAUUAGCUAGUUGGAGGGGUAACGGCCCACCAAGGCGACGAUCAGUAGCCGGUCUGAGAGGAUGGACGGCCACACUGGGACUGAGACACGGCCCAGACUCCUACGGGAGGCAGCAGUGGGGAAUCUUCCGCAAUGGACGAAAGUCUGACGGAGCGACGCCGCGUGAGUGAUGAAGGCCCUUGGGUCGUAAAGCUCUGUCAUCAGGGACGAACGGUCACGUCAGGAAAUGGGCGUGAAUUGACGGUACCUGAGAAGGAAGCCACGGCUAACUACGUAGCCAGCAGCCGCGGU